UACGGGGGGAGCAAGCGUUGUUCGGAUUUACUGGGCGUAAAGGGCGCGUAGGCGGCCAGCACAAGUCAGUUGUGAAAUCUCCGAGCUUAACUCGGAAAGGUCAACUGAUACUGCUUUGCUAGAGUGCGGAAGGGGCAAUCGGAAUUCUUGGUGUAGCGGUGAAAUGCGUAGAUAUCAAGAGGAACACCUGAGGUGAAGACGGGUUGCUGGGCCGACACUGACGCUGAAGCGCGAAAGCCAGGGGAGCAAACGGG
rnacentral:rRNA from 1 species